GUGUGCCAGGAUAGCAUUGCAACUGGGCACCCACAGUCCUUGCCACCGCUUGAUCACUGCUGAAGAAGGGUUCAUUGGUUGUGUGGGAAGAAGACCCAGGCCCAGAGGAAGGAGACAGCAGGACCAACGACAGAAUUCUGAUUGGGUGACGUCAAAAAGCCCCUCGGUGACGUCUCGCCCGCUGUCGUGCAGACUUGUCCUUGGCGGAGCUGGCAGAAUGUUGGAGGUGCUCAGUGUCGGGCCCAGGGGGAAGACAGCCACCAGCACCCUUUGGCUGCUGCUCUGUUACCAGCUACAUGCGGGGCUAGACCGGGUGCUGAAAACAUGGGGAAGAAUAAAGGAAGCUGGAGAAAAUUUUUUUGCUGUGCUGGUCCACCAGAAACUCAGUCUUCAACUUGUAUUAAUAUCAGUGAGUCAGAUCCCUUCAAGUGUCCUUCAGAACCUGAGCCCGAACUGGAGCCAGAACAGGACCAGGAGGAAGACUUGUAUGUUGAAGCUGAAGUGCAAACUUCUCAUGUGGAAAUCCCAGAAGGAAAUAGGUGGCGGUGGUCACGGUUGCAUAAAGAAGUUGAGCAGCAAACCUCAGUAGUUUCAUUACCCAUUGCAGAGAUAGAGUCAUCCUCAGAGGCUGAUGUUCAGAUCCAAACCUCAUUUUCAAGCAUACCAAGACAACUUGAGGCCCAGGCACAAACUUCAUUUCUCUCCCUGAGGUGUCCAACCUCAUUUGAAACAGAUGCCCAAGUGCAAACCUCAUUUACUGAAUUACCAGGAGUAUUGGAGGCUGAAGCUCAGGUGCAAACAUCACUGCUUUCAUUACCUAGAGAAAGGGAGGCCCAGGUGCAAACAUCACUGCUUUCACUACCUGGAGAAAAGGAGGCCCAGGUGCAAACAUCACUGCUUUCACUACCUGGAGAAAAGGAGGCCCAGGUGCAAACAUCACUGCUUUCAUUACCAGAAGAAAAGGAGGCCCAGGUGCAAACUUCAUUUAUUUCAUUACCAGAAAGGAAGUCUAUAAUAUCUUUGGGAGGUUUUGCCCAGGCUCAAGCUUUCUAUCCAGAAUUAUUAGAAAAGAUUGCUUCUUUGCCAAUGUUAGCUGACACCCAGGUGCAGACCUCAAAUCUUGACAUGACAGAUGCUUCACUAAGAGACUUCCAAAUGCAGACUUCAUUUUCAGACUAUAUGUCGACAAAGGAUGAUACAUCCUCCAUUGGAACUGAACCCCAAAGUUUGAACUCACCUUCUCAGUCAUCUUUGUUGGAAUCAAGCACAUUAUACCCCAUGUAUGUUGAUACUGGGAUGCAAACUUUACCUGUAGAAAUACCACCUGGAAAUGACUGGCGUUCUGCACGACUGAAAGCAGAGGCCCAGGUACAGACCUCAUUUGCCUCCGUGAUAGAAGGUAUCACAGAAGCUGUCCUUCAGGAACAACCAUCAAAGCUUGAAUUAGAAAAAGAAGGGGAGGUGGCAGGAGAGUUGGAAUUCCCUCUUGUAUUAAAAGAGAAGUUUCUUCCAUCUGAACUGACUGAAAUUGCCAUACAGACGUCUGACACUUUGUUGAGGGAAUGGAGUAAGUUGCAUUCAUUAUGGCCACAAGCGAAUGCACAGGUUCAAACAUCAACCAUUGAACUGCUAAAGAAACUCUCUUUGCUGUCACAGAUUGAGACCAUGGAACCAGCUUCCCGUAUUGAAUUGCUAAAAAAAGUUUCUUCCUUGUCAGUCUCUGAACCAGAAGUGCAAACUUCAAGCCAUGAAUUGCAGAGGAAGGCUUCUUCUUGGUCAGACUCGGGGGCCCAAUGUCAGAUUUUAAAUGCUGAGCUGCUGAAGAAGCGUCCUUCUUCAGCACAAGUGAUAACUACCUCAGUUUAUGAAUCUGCAGCACUUCUUUCUUCCUCAUUGCCAAAAGGGGAGGCCCAGGUGCAAAUGUCUGAUGUAGAACUAAUGAAGAAACUUUCUUCAAUGUCACAAAUGGAAGCUCAGAAGAAAUCAGACAGUGAUUUACAAAAGUACUCUUCUUUGUCAUUGAUUGAAGCUGAAGAUGAAAAUCAGGAGACAAUAACAGAAGGAAAAGAGUACCUUAUUACACCACAGGUAAUGGAAGCUCAGAUUCGUAAGUGGUAUCAUGAACUUCCAGAAGUUCAGACAUCAGCCUCUCAGGCUCCAUGCCAGAGGGAAUCCCUUUGGUCUCCAACAGUUGACAGUGCAGUUCAGACAUCACAUGUUGAAAUACCAUUGGGAAAUAGGUGGCGGGCAUCACGUUUGCAAGCUGAAGCAGAAGUACAAACAGUGGGGCUUCAAUUGCCAAUAGAAAAAGAACUUUGCCUUCAAACACAGGGCAUUACCCAAACCCAAACAUCAUUGCUUGAACUAUGGCAAGCAAGGGACUUAGCUGAUGCACAAAUGCAAACUUCUGACUUUAAUGUAACCCAAACAAAAGAGUCCCCUCCACCAUUAGUAGUUGAUAGCCAAACGCAAACAUCACUGUUUGACAUCUGGAAAGCAAAAGAGAAAGCUAAUGCUCAAAUGCAGACCUCAAUAGCAGAGUUGCCCCAGCAAGAAAUUAAGUCUCUUCCCAUGGAACAAAUUGAUAAAUUGGUGCAGACAUCCUUUUUUGAAAUAUGGAAAGCAAAAGAACUAGCUAACAUGCAACAGAAAACAUCUGAGACUGAUGUUCAGUCAGUCUUAAAACCUUCUCCUCUAUUACAAACUGAAUUGGAAAUACAGACAUCUUUGAUAGAUAUUUGGAGGGAAAAAGGAAAGACUGAUACUCAGGCUCAAACAUCCUUGCUUGAGUUACUAAACGAACAGCCUCCUCUAAUGUCACAAACUGAUGCUCAGGUACAAGCCUCAAAUAGUGAAAUACCUGUGGAGAAUUCGUGGCAUGCGUCACCCUUGUACGCUGACAUUCAGGUGCAAACAUCCUUGGAACUAGAGCAGACAGCAUUAGAGUCUCCUCCUUUCUCUGAGCCAGAAGAGACAGAAUUAGAGUUUCCAUUUUUGGAACCAGAAGAGGCAAAAUUAGAGUCAACUUCCUCACCACAAAUGGACACUCAGGUGCAAACCUCCCUCCUUGACAUAUGGAAAGCAAAAGAACUAAAUAAUGCUCAAAUGCAAACUUCUUGGAUGGAUUUGGCAGAAUCCACAGAAGACUCUUUUCUCCCACCACAGAUGGAAACCCCAGUUCGUCUACCUGUGCCUGAAGAGGCAAGUUCUCUUCCACCAGCCCAAACUGACACUCAGAUGCAAACCUCUUCUCCUGAGAUGUGGAAGACAAAAGAACUAGCUGAUGCUGAGAUGCAAACUUCCUUGCUCUGUUUGCCACAAACCACAGAGGAGAUUCCUCCCUCAUUACAGACUGAAUGUUCAGUGCAACCAGCUGAAUUCAUAACAGCUGAAUUUUCUCCCCCAUCACAAACUGACAACAAAGUCCAAACCUCCCAGCUUGAUAUGUGCACUCUAGAAGAAGUACCCAGUGGUCAGAAACAAUCUUCUAGCUCCGAUUUGCAAACUGUCACGGAUGUGUGUCCCGUUCCAUCACGCACGGAUGUGUCUCCCGUUCCAUCAUGCACCGAUGUGUCUCCCGUUCCAUCACGCACGGAUGUGUCUCCCGUUCCAUCACGCACCCAUGUGUCUCCCAUUCCAUCACGCACGGAUGUGUCUCCCGUUCCAUCACGCACCCGUGUGUCUCCCGUUCCAUCACGCACGGAUAUGUCUCCCGUUCCGUCACGCACCCGUGUGUCUCCCGUUCCAUCACGCACCCGUGUGUCUCCCGUUCCAUCACGCACGGAUGUGUCUCCCGUUCCAUCACCCACACAUGUGUCUCCAGUCUCAUCAUGCACCAGUGUGUCUCCUGUUCCAUCACACACUGAUGUGCCUACCUUCCCAUCACAAGCAGGCGUGUCUCCUGUACAAGCAGAUAGAGUUGUAGUUUCAGUACCAUCAUGCACAGCUGAAACUCCUGCCCCAUUAUGGACAACUGAGUCUACUGUUCCAUCAGGAACUGUCAGCCCAAUGCGACCACCCACACCCGCAUCACCAUAUGGACAAGUGAACUCUGUCUUCCCAGAGGAAAGUAGUGCUCUGAUGCAAAAAUCAUUGCUUGAGCUAUGGAGCACGAGAGGGGAAGUAGAAGUUCAGAUACAAACUGCUCACCUUGGCCUGUCCUUUGAGGAUGAUUUGCAUUUAUUCCCAAAGCUAGUAGAGAGCCAGGCAAAAAAGACAGAUGGUAAGAAAACUGAGGAAAAGAUGCUGCAUCAAAUAUCCAAAGCUGAAAUGAAAUCAAACCCCCCUGUGUUUACUGAGGCCCAGGUUCAGACCUCAUAUGUUGAUAUACCUCGAGGAAAGAAAUGGCGUUCAUCUCGCUUAUGUACAGAGGCUCAGGUACAAACCUCAUUUCAUGACCUCCGUCUGAAAGAUAGGAUUCCAACUUUACAUGAUCAUGUAGCAGCCAAAAGAGACCAACUGCACUUCCAAGAGAUGCUGUAAUAGAAGAGAUGUUGACAUGCAACUUUUAACCAAGAAGUUAUUCAUUACCAUUAGCCUAUGGUCUGUUAACCUGGAUGCAAUUAUGAAUAUCCUUUCAAAUGUGGACGACAGCAUGAAAUGAGAUCCCAAUAAAUGCAUUUAGAACAUUUUUAACCAUUGGCCUUAACAUACUGAAGAGGAGUUAAAGACAAUUGACAAACCUGUCCAUCACGUCCAAUCUUUACUGGCUUAUGUUCAUUCCAAGGAUUGGUCAGGUGAGCAGAUUUUGUGAAUGGUAAUUCACGCCUAAAUGCAUAAGUAACAUGUAAUACAUUCUAUGUGUUUAUUGGGUAUUUAAUUAAUUUCAUACAAAAAUGCUUUCUAGGUAUUAUAACUAAGAAUUUACAAAGAUAUACAAUAAGCAUUGUGAAUUAAUGAGUGAUGGGUCUCAUUACCCAAGCAUAGCUUAAAAGAUAACUGAAUGUGUAACACACACAAUAACGUGAACCGUUACAAUCUCCUAAACUCCUCUUUAGCUUCAAUUACAAUUCAAGAUAUAGAAGACCUUAAUUAAGCUUUCCCUUUGUUCUUCUGUCCCACACUUCCACCAUGCAAAUCCCUCUGAGGCUCCUUUCUGGAGGACAGAAGGAGGACCUUGCUAUUCUGCACUCCUUUCCCUCAUCUCUGGUAUCCUGCUACAAUUCUAUCAAAUGCAAAAAACACUGGUAAGCUUUGUUUUCCAAAACUAUAUGUCAGUAGCAUUAGGAAAACUUAUCAGUAGUGCUCUUGAAACUGGUAAGGGGGAGGAUGGGGAGAAAGGGGGUAUUAAUAUGAGAUAGACAGAAAGAGGGAAAAUCAUGGGAUGCCUUGGGAAGGGUUUCAGGAAGGAUCAGAUCCUGCUACCCUCCAUUUGACAUCAAUCAGAAGCACAACAGAGAAUGAAACAGGCCCAGAUUUGGCUCUGAAGUAUUAAUUCAGACCAACAGAUCUUUAUGAAGUCCAAUUCCAAACCUAGCUUGAGGGAACUUGCUCAUCAGUAUUCUAAACAUCUAAAAUGAAAGACAAGCAUUUGUAAUUCAUAAGUUUGUCAGUGACAUAACUACAGAUUGGGAGAUGUAGGUACACAUUCAACCUCCUCAGGCAAGCAGCUCCAGGUAUGUUCUACUGCUGGUCUGAAGAACAAGGUCUCAGAGUUGUCUGACCCUUUUAGGAUCAAUGGACCACUGUACAAGCUAGAACAGUCAUGAUGGAUUAAGAUGGAUGCCCACCAUGGAAAAAUCCAUGUAAACUGUUUUGAGUUUUACGGACUCUGGAGAGUUGGCUGAAGUUAGAUUUUGGCCUUAAGACUGAGAGCAAGGCUCAAAGAAGACUAAUUUCAACUACUAAUAGGCUAACAGGUACAGCAACAGGCUCACAGAUAACAUUAAUGGAAAUCUGGAAGAAUUUGCUAAAUAUUGUGUGUUAUAUAUCAAAUUGACCUGUGCAAAAAUCAUAGAAAAGCAAGGUUCCGCUCAUACUUUCCCCUAAUAUGCCUUGAAGAGGUACAAGCAAAUAACUGAUGUAAAUGGCAUGGAGAGAAUCUGCUGCUGUCCCUGAUGAAUAUAAAAAGAUGUUCUGUAUACACACAGUAGCUUAUUUUACUACUUUUUCUUAUUCUCUGGGAUAUUUUGGGAUAUCUUCCAUUUAUUCUUCCCUUGCUGCCUGAAUUGGAGACAACUGGAAUUUUAGCCUUACAGAAAUGACUGGCUCUGAGGGAGAUGGAACAAUCUGUGAUCUUCUGCACUGGAUUGAUCUUUCAAGGAGAGGCUUGCCAGCUAUCUAUUAGGAGAUGCUCUAACUAUGGAUUUUUGUAUCAAAAGGAUGGACUAGAUGGUGUGCAAGAAGCCCUCUAAAGGCAGGUCACUUACCUGUAAAUGUAUUCUUUGAGUGCUCAUCUGUGCAUUCACGCAUGAACUUUGCACCUGUGCAAAGCCUAUUGUUGGAAAGUUACUAUAGCUAAGCAUUCAUGUGGGCGGGAGCCCUUCCCCUUCCUGUUCCCAGGAAACAUGGGAAGAAGCUCCUGCCCAUUCCCUCAGUUCCUAUAGAGACCACCAUGAAUCUCUGAACUGAGGGGAAGGAUAGAGGAUCCCGAUCCAUUCCAGCCCCAAGUGUCUAUGAAGAGUAAGGAGGCAACUAUUGGAGAGAUGACAGCAAGCUGGGCUAGAGGGUAGGUUGUGUGAAUGCACAGAUGACCACUCUUCUGCCUUUCUUCUUUGUGGUCUCUGUGCAUCACACAUAUGGACUAGAUUACCCUGUGAAGGAUGAAGGGAUGUUGUCAUCACUGAAGGACAGAGAAAAGGACUGCCCAAGCAAACAAGCAGUCUGCCCUUGCAUAAACAUCCAGCUAGUAGUGUCUGAUGAAUACUGAGGGUGUGGACUGCUCUGCAGAAUCUUGCAGAAGGAUCCUGGCAUGGAGGGCCAUGGACAUAGCCAAUGUUUCCAUGGGGUGGGCCUUUGGUCAUGUAAGGAGAUUAAGGCCUGCCAUCUCGUAUGCCAAGGUAAUGGUGUUGCAGACCUAUCUGGAUAGUCUGUGUGAUGAGAGCGCAUCUCAUCUUCUAGUCGUUGUGGCAUGUGAACAACCUUGGCAAGAGGCAGAACAGCUCAGUUCUGAAUUUGUAGAAGUCAAGAGCCCUCUAACAUCAAGCAGGUGCAGGGUGAAUUCUACUGCGGUGACAACAGGGAAGGCAGGGAGAAUUAUGUCCUGAUUGAGAAGGAUGGGUGAGAUGACCUUGGGCUGAAAGGAUGGGACUGAAUGAAGUGCGGCAUUGUCCCUGUGUAAGUUUAGAUAUGGUGGGGCUACCCAGAGAGCACAGAGCUCACUGGUGCAGCAGGCAAAUAUGAAGACUACUAGGAAGGCCAACUUCCAGGAUAGGAGGCAUACGUUGGUUGUAGCCAGAGGCUUGAAGAACGCUGCACCAUUGAGGAGAAUAAGAAAUAAAAGAUAGGGAAAGACAAUAGAUGGGUUUUUUUGGGUUUUUUAUGGGGAGAUGUGUGAUGGGAAGGGAAAGGGAAGGGUUGUGAGGAGGGUUUUAGGUUGUAAGGUUUGUGAGGGAUUUAGGUUGAGAAAGAUUAAAAAAAAGUUUAAAGUUAAAGUAGAAGAAGUUUGUGAGGGAAAUUGAAAGCAAUGAGAGAACCCAAACCAUGGUAAAUGGCGGUUGAAAGUGGACUGGCCAGAAGGCAGGGAUUCCACCCAUUUAUACCAGGGGGUAGGGGAGUGGAGUUCCUGUCAAAAAUGUUACUGAAUCUUCCCAAAUACAGGCACUGUGCAGGCACAGCACCCAUAUGUGUGAUGCACAGAGACCAUGACAAAGAAUAUAAAUUUUUGCAGGUUUCUUUAAAGAGUGAAAAGAAAAAGUGGUUGCUGUAGGUAAAGGAGAGAAAAAAUAUUAGAAAGCUUAAUACCUAGGAUGGAAGAGAGAGAUGCAAUUUCCAAUCUAGGCAUGAUGGCAGUCGAAAAAGAACUGAGGGGAUAGGUGGGAGCCUCGCCUCAUGCUUCCUAAAAACAGGAAGGGGAAGGGCUCCCACCCAUGUGAAUACUGAACUAUAGAAGCUUCCCAACAGUAGGUUCUGUGCAGGGACUUUAUUUAACAGGGAAUUAAACUGUGUCUUUGCAAGACAUUAGGCUUAUUUUAAUUCCUAAACCACAUCACGGUUAUUGUACUUGUUCAGUCUUUAGACUAUUCCAUGACAUGGUGAAUAAGUUUAUAUUAUUUUAGUCUCUACUGACAAAUAAGAUUUUGACGGGUUUUAUAAAAAAAACAACUACAGGUUUGGUGGGCUGUUUUCCUCACAAAACUGCAUAUUAAAAUUCAAUAGCUAAAUUCCUUAUCAGAAGUUCACUAUCAGAAAUAAUAUUGAUGUUCGGAAUAAUCAGAUAAGCAUAUCAUCCAUCCCUUGUAUAAUUUGUUAUUGAGAACUAUGCAGUUUCAAUAAGGGCAAGUUCUAUGGCAGUUGGUUCUAGCCAGGCCAAUGGAAGGGGCCUUACUUUCCCAACUAUCAUAUAUGCAGCAAGGUGGAUUUAUAAAUACAUGCACCAGGUUCCCAGGAAUUAGACAUGGCCAGUGGGGUUUUUAUUCCCUUUCAAGCAGCACAUCUCUGCCAUCCUUACUCUGCCAUUUUGCAAAAUGCAUUUCAAACUUUCUUUAAUCCUCAAAAGAGGUUUGGCAAGCAACAUGUAGCCCAUAGAUUAUAUAAUGAAGCUGAGCAUAUAAUUAUUUAAUUUUAAAAAUGGGUUAAGUAUAACAGUGGUUUCCAAACAUUUUCACGAGUAUGCCUUGGCAGCCUAUUUCCAUAAAUUGUACCCUUCAUAUUAGCAAAAUGUUUAUAAUUAAUAUAGUUGCUGAUAUUGCAAAUGUAUAUGUUGUGACUGUGAAUAAAUAGCCCAAUAAUGGGAUUAAAAGGUAAUGGAAUAAUAAGGUGAACAAACAGUGCAUUUAUAUUUACAUUCAAAACUCAAAACAUACAAUUACUUCAAGUAAAUACAUCACAGAUUACAAAACAAACUACAUCACAUUAAUUAAUACAUUUAUUACUUUAAAUUAUUAAUAAUUGAAAGUGCAAUAGUAUUUAUUUAUAAUUUUAUAAAUUUAUAUACUCCACAUGGACUCCCUGGACCAUAAUUUGUUUUGAAAUAAUAUUUAUGAAACACACAAAAAUUUUAUACACAACAAAUAUUCAGUGCAAUCUGUGAGCUUGUUUUGAGGCACACAGUUUUUUGAAAUCAGGUUCAACUGAUAAGAUAAUCUUAAAUCUGGAACUGCAUUCAGCUUACUAUGGUAUUUAUUUUUUAGAUGGCAAAAGAAGGGGACGGCAGAGUAUGAGGUGGCUAGAUGGAGUCACUGAAGCGGUGUGAGCUUAAGUGGACUCUGGGGGAUGGUGGAGGACAGGAAGGCCUGGAGGAAUGUUGUCCAUGGGAUCACGAUGGGUCGGACACAACUUCACAACUAACAACAACAACAAGAGAAAGCCCUCUCACUCAGCUCCGUAUUUGUAAAUAGCAACAGAAACUAAAGUGUCUUGUCAGAAAA